ensembl:lncRNA
UCUUGUUACUCCAAAUUUAUUCCAUAUAUAUAAGUUCACAUCUCAAACAUACAGACACAUUUCAGCAAGUCUUUGCAAACACAUGUUAUUGUCUGUAGAGACACACAGGUUUCGGUUAGUUUGCGAUUAAAAAAAAAAAAAAAAAAAAUCAGUGUUAAGUCUGCUUACAGUCACAUUCUAAAUAAACUCAAAUAAAACAAACAUACAAUAUAAGUCAAAGAGAAGCUUACAGACACUGUGUGUGAACUCUGAGUCUUCAAGUUGUGUUGUUGCUGUGGGAGCACCAGUGAAGUUUGACCAGGAACCAAUCAGAGCACACACAUAUUUACAAGGUCAGACACACAAAACAAACGAAUAAAGGAAUGUAAUACUGAUACAUGUGCAACUAUUUUAGCAAACCAUAAAAUAAACUACUAAUACUUUGCAGUUAGAGGCCGUUCAGUCAUCCCUGAUCACUGGAUCCUGAGAAAGACUUGUGAUUAUCUGUAAUCUACAGAAUUUCAUAGAAACUCAGAUUUCCAGUUCCAGUGAAAAGAGUUCACACAGGGAGAGACUAGCAGGGGUCAGAGGUCAUGAAAGGUCAACGAAACUUAGACAGUAAAGAGUAAAUCGUACUGCUGAGAGACAAAUGUACCGCCAGCAAUUACAUUAGAUGGUUGCCUAGGCAACCAGGAAUGUGCAUAACCAUCUGUCAGCUACAAAGUGAUGCAUGAACGAUGGGAUCAGUUUAUACUUGGAUGUAAUUUUAGUGAAACAGCUGAUUGAGGAUUAGUGUUGUUGAAGUUUUGUGGUCCAAAGCUCACACUCACAUAAUGAGGUCAUAUUUGAUCUUAUAAACAAAAACACUGAUCUCAGUAACAGUGUUCAUGGAUACUGAGGGUAAACAAACCACACAGCUCACAAAGAUGAAGAAAAACUGAAAUCAGAUCUUGAUUGAAACAUUCAGGUGUGAACAUAUUUCAUAAAUGUGUAAUCUGAGUUUGAAAUGAUGUAACAACAGUCAGUGGAAACAAAACCAUCAAAGUGAAAAAUGUUCAAGUGUUGCCUUCAUUUGUUUGAGUUAAAAGUUAUUUUUGCUGACAGCAGUUGUAGAGUUUUAAAGUGUUUUAGUUUGACAUUUUCUAACUUUGAACAUCUGAACCUCAGAGCACUACAAAACCAGAGUAAUGUCUCAGUGAGUUGUGUCAAACUCAAAGUCAGAGCUUUCUGUGUCAUAAAGAGGCUAAAUCACCAUGGUAACUGAUGGUGAAACAUCAUCUGGUCAGGAGCAGGUCAUGUUCAGAGUUUUGUUUUUAAAUCAGCUGUUAGAGCCACGUUUUCACUGUGAUGUAGAUCCUCUGCUGGAGGAAAUGUUUCAUAUGUGCAGCUUGUUAAACUGUAACUUACUGAAACCACUAAAUGAAGCUAAACUGCACAUCUCAUUGUUACAGGAAUGUACCUGUAUUCAUUUAGUGGAGACAUCAGUGAAGUUAUCAAUGAGUAAUGUCUCUGGUUGGACUGGGUGGCGCUCACAGGGAUCAUUUUGUGUAGAAGAAAAGUCACAUGAUACAUGAAAUGCUCCUUUUCAUCUGAGCGUGCUCAGAGCCUGAAGCAGAGAGCCAGGGUAACAGAGGAAGCUGAUAAUCACCAUGGUGAUACCUGCUGUCUCUGACUGCAGUUUCAGGUUUAGUUGAGCCAGCUAACACAAAGAAAGCCUGACUGUGUUGAAGCUGAUUUGUAGUCACAGCCCUCUGGAUGUUCCAGUGAACUACAGAGCUGAAAUGUAAAGACUGUUUUUAAAGAUGAAACUCUUCCACUGAGAUGAGCUGUCAGCAAAAUCAGAAGCAGCCAUUAAAGAUAAAAAUGAAAUAAACCUACAGUACUGUGGGCCUGCUGUCUGUGCUCAGAUCAUCUGUUUCUGCAGGAUUUUAAACACUGACAACACCCAGAACUCUGAACAGCAGCAGCAGACUCAACGCUGUUAAAAGCUCUGAGACAUUUUAAACCUGCUGCAGUUCAACAGGAGGCUGGUUUGUUUCUACACUCUGUUGUUGUUUAUGUUUUCUGUAGAUCAAGAAACCAACAACAGCAAGAAUAAGAAGCACAACAAGAACUGACAGACCAACUUUCAGUCCAACAGAUCCAUCCUCCUUCUCUUUGUAUUCCUUUCCUCCAUCUUUGUUGUCUUCAUCCUUCUCUUGUCCUCCUGUCUGACCUGCAGGUGAGAAACAGGUGUGAGGUGUCAGCUGUCAGGUAGGUGAUGAGUGAAGAACAGAACAGAAUCCAUUUCCUCUUCAAACUGCU